rnacentral:rRNA from 1 species
UACGUAUGGGGCAAGCGUUAUCCGGAUUUACUGGGUGUAAAGGGAGCGUAGGCGGCGGGGCAAGCCUGAUGUGAAAGCCCGGGGCUCAACCCCGGGACUGCAUUGGGAACUGCCCUGCUGGAGUGCCGGAGGGGCAGGCGGAAUUCCUAGUGUAGCGGUGAAACGCGUAGAUAUUAGGAGGAACACCAGUGGCGAAGGCGGCCUGCUGGACGGUGACUGACGCUGAGGCUCGAAAGCGUGGGGAGCAAGCAGG